rnacentral:rRNA from 1 species
UCCUACGGGAGGCAGCAGUGGGGAAUAUUGCACAAUGGGCGCAAGCCUGAUGCAGCAACGCCGCGUGCGGGAUGAAGGCCCUAGGGUUGUAAACCGCUUUCAGCAGGGAAGAAAAUGACGGUACCUGCAGAAGAAGGUGCGGCCAACUACGUGCCAGCAGCCGCGGUGACACGUAGGCACCAAGCGUUGUCCGGAUUUAUUGGGCGUAAAGAGCUCGUAGGCGGUUCAGUAAGUCGGGUGUGAAAACUCUGGGCUCAACCCAGAGACGCCACCCGAUACUGCUGUGACUUGAGUACGGUAGGGGAGCGGGGAAUUCCUGGUGUAGCGGUGAAAUGCGCAGAUAUCAGGAGGAACACCAGUGGCGAAGGCGCCGCUCUGGGCCGUAACUGACGCUGAGGAGCGAAAGCGUGGGUAGCAAACAGGAUUAGAUACCCUGGUAGUCCACGCCGUAAACGUUGGGCACUAGGUGUGGGUCUCAACCAACGAGAUCCGCGCCGUCGCUAACGCAUUAAGUGCCCCGCCUGGGGAGUACGGUCGCAAGACUAAAACUCAAAUGAAUUGACGG